rnacentral:misc_RNA from 1 species
UCUCCGUUGGUGAACCAGCGGAGGGAUCAUUACAGGACUCGCAAGACUCCUUCACCCUGUGAACCUCACUACAAGCACGUUGCUUCGGCGGGUGUCCCGGCGGGGGUUUUCCCUCACCGGGGCGCACAGCCCGCCGGCAGCCUACUAUACUCUGUCUCUUUGCGUUGGCAUCUCGAGAAAAAACAAACAAGUUAAAACUUUCAACAACGGAUCUCUUGGUUCUG